UGGGGGAUAUUGCACAAUGGGCGAAAGCCUGAUGCAGCGACGCCGCGUGGGGGAUGAAGGCCUUCGGGUUGUAAACUUCUUUUGCUCUGAACAAGGCAUGCUAAUGGGUGUGUUGAGUGUAGGGGUUGAUUAGCGCCGGCUAACUACGUGCCAGCAGCCGCGGUAAUACGUAGGGCGCGAGCGUUGUCCGGAAUUAUUGGGCGUAAAGGGCUUGUAGGUGGCUGGUUGCGUCUGUCGUGAAAGCUCAUGGCUUAACUGUGGGUUUGCGGGGUGUACGGGCUGGCUUGAGUGCAGUAGGGGAGGCUGGAAUUCCUGGUGUAGCGGUGGAAUGCGCAGAUAUCAGGAGGAAUACCGGUGGAGAAGGCGGGUCUCUGGGCUGUUACUGACACUGAGGAGCGAAAGCAUGGGGAGCGAACAGG
rnacentral:rRNA from 1 species